CCGAGUUUACAACUCCCAAACCCCUGUGAACAUACCACUUGUUGCCUCGGCGGAUCAGCCCGCUCCCGGUAAAACGGGACGGCCCGCCAGAGGACCCCUAAACUCUGUUUCUAUAUGUAACUUCUGAGUAAAACCGUAAAUAAAUCA
rnacentral:misc_RNA from 1 species